AUUGAACGCUGGCGGCAGGCCUAACACAUGCAAGUCGAGCGGAUGAAGGGAGCUUGCUCCUGGAUUCAGCGGCGGACGGGUGAGUAAUGCCUAGGAAUCUGCCUGGUAGUGGGGGAUAACGUCCGGAAACGGGCGCUAAUACCGCAUACGUCCUGAGGGAGAAAGUGGGGGAUCUUCGGACCUCACGCUAUCAGAUGAGCCUAGGUCGGAUUAGCUAGUUGGUGGGGUAAAGGCCUACCAAGGCGACGAUCCGUAACUGGUCUGAGAGGAUGAUCAGUCACCGUGGAGCAGAGACACUGGCCCGCUUACGAGGGGAGGCAGAGGGGUGAAAUGGGGGCGGUGGGGCGACGGCAGCAGUCAGCCAGGGGGUGUGUGUGAUGAAGUGCGUCGGAUUGUAAAGACUAUUGUGUGGGGAGGAAGGGCAGCAACUUAUUUCCUUGCUGUUUUGACGUCACAAGAAGAAUAACCACCGGCUAAUUCCGUGCCCGCCGCCGCGGUAAUAAAUCGCAGGUCCCCCUCUCCUC
rnacentral:rRNA from 1 species